rnacentral:rRNA from 1 species
GACAGAGGUGCCAAGCGUUAGGCGGAAUCACUGGGCUUAAAGCGUGUGUAGGCGGGUGCCUAAGUACCUUGUGAAAUCCCACGGCUCAACCGUGGAACUGCUGGGUAUACUGGGUGCCUUGGGUCAUCUAGGGGCUGCCGGAACAAAUGGUGGAGCGGUGAAAUGCGUAGAUAUCAUUUGGAACGCCAACGGCGAAAGCAGGCAGCUGGGGGGAUGCACCGACGCUGAGACACGAAAGCCAGGGAGCGAACGGG